AGCUAAAGCUACUGAAGAAGAAGCCUCAGAUAAAUCUGCAAAAAAGAAAGUAACAGAACCAAUGAAACAGAAAUCUGCAGCUUCUGCUAUAGCAAAGAAAGAACCAAUGAAACAGAAAGCUACAGCUCCUGAUACAGCAAAGAAA